GGUCAAUGAUGUUUUGGCAUGUAUUAUCUGAUAUUAAAGCUGAUGUGUAUACUACUUUAGGAAAAAAGAAAAGAAAAUCUA